UAAUACCGCAUAAAACCUAGCACCGCAUGGUGCAAGGUUGAAAGAUGGUUUCGGCUAUCACUUUAGGAUGGACCCGCGGUGCAUUAGUUAGUUGGUGAGGUAAAGGCUCACCAAGACCGUGAUGCAUAGCCGACCUGAGAGGGUAAUCGGCCACACUGGGACUGAGACACGGCCCAGACUCCUACGGGAGGCAGCAGUAGGGAAUCUUCCACAAUGGACGAAAGUCUGAUGGAGCAACGCCGCGUGAGUGAAGAAGGUUUUCGGAUCGUAAAACUCUGUUGUUGGAGAAGAACGUAUUUGAUAGUAACUGAUCAGGUAGUGACGGUAUCCAACCAGAAAGCCACGGCUAACUACGUGCCAGCAGCCGCGGUAAUACGUAGGUGGCAAGCGUUGUCCGGAUUUAUUGGGCGUAAAGCGAGCGCAGGCGGUUUCUUAAGUCUGAUGUGAAAGCCUUCGGCUCAACCGAAGAAGUGCAUCGGAAACUGGGAAACUUGAGUGCAGAAGAGGACAGUGGAACUCCAUGUGUAGCGGUGAAAUGCGUAGAUAUAUGGAAGAACACCAGUGGCGAAGGCGGCUGUCUGGUCUGUAACUGACGCUGAGGCUCGAAAGCAUGGGUAGCAAACAGGAUUAGAUACCCUGGUAGUCCAUGCCGUAAACGAUGAGUGCUAGGUGUUGGAGGGUUUCCGCCCUUCAGUGCCGCAGCUAACGCAUUAAGCACUCCGCCUGGGGAGUACGACCGCAAGGUUGAAACUCAAAGGAAUUGACGGGGGCCCGCACAAGCGGUGGAGCAUGUGGUUUAAUUCGAAGCAACGCGAAGAACCUUACCAGGUCUUGACAUCCUUUGACCACUCUAGAGAUAGAGCUUUCCCUUCGGAGACAAAGUGACAGGUGGUGCAUGGUUGUCCUCAGCUCGUGUCGUGAGAUGUUGGGUUAAGUCCCGCAACGAGCGCACCCUUAUUACUAGUUGCCAGCAUUUAGUUGGGCACUCUAGUGAGACUGCCGGUGACAAACCGGAGGAGGUGGGGACGACGUCAAUCAUCCUGCCCCUUAUGACCGGGCUACCAC
rnacentral:rRNA from 1 species